AGUAAAGUUUGACGCAAAUGUCACAUCCAUAUUUCCUAGAUCCAUAGAGUGCAUACUUGCAUCCUGCACACCAAUAAAUGCAUCGUGCGACGGUGGGAAGCGGGGCGGGGCAGUGCAGUCGGCGGCGGGGCAGUCAGUCGCAUCGUGACCGCGCGUCGCGUUGCGUGUGCGUUGAGUCGAUGCGCACCGCAAACACGGACGACAACGAGAUCGACACCAUGGUGUCCAUGGGUGCGUGGAGGCGCCGCACGCCCGACGAAUGCGAAGAGCGCUCCGAACCUGGCGCUUCCAGCUCCGCGGUGCCCCGGGCACCUCCGAACUGUGCGCGCUGUCGUAACCACCGUCUUAAAAUCGAGCUGAAGGGCCACAAACGUUACUGCAAAUACCGCUACUGCACCUGUGAGAAAUGUCGGCUUACGGCGGACAGGCAACGGGUUAUGGCAUUGCAAACGGCUCUGAGACGUGCCCAGGCGCAGGACGAAGCCAGAGCGCGCGCUUUGGAGUCCGGCGUACAGCCUCCGGGACUCGAACUAGACCGGCCCGAACCUCCUUCAGUGAAGACCCCGAGGAGCCCGGUACCACCGCCUGCGCCUCGCUCUCUCGGCUCUGCGAGCUGCGAUUCCGUGCCUGGAUCUCCAGGAGUUUCGCCGUACGCGCCGCCGCCACCUUCAGUUCCACCGCAGCCGACUAUGCCGCCUCUGUUGCCGCCACAACAGCCCGCGGUGUCACUCGAGUCCCUAGUGGAAAAUUGUCAUAAGCUGUUAGAAAAAUUUCAUUACUCGUGGGAGAUGAUGCCGUUGGUGCUGGUCAUCCUCAACUACGCGGGGAGCGAUCUCGAAGAAGCAUCGCGGAAAAUAGAUGAAGGGAAGAUGAUCAUCAACGAGUACGCGAGGAAGCACAAUUUGAACAUCUUUGACGGUCACGAACUGCGGAACUCGACUCGCCAGAAAAUGCUGAGCGAAAUUAAUAAUAUAAGUGGUGUACUAUCAUCGUCGAUGAAGUUGUUUUGCGAAUGAUACUUAGUUUUACAAGUGCGGUUUAUAUGUGGACGCGUGCUGUGCGAUGCUGUGUGCGAAUGUCGAACAAUUCAGUUUCAUCACUUGAAGACUGUCGGAUGGCGCACCGUUCCGCCGAUCCCCCAUCGACCUCAACGAGGUCCCCAUCAACAACAUCAAGGAGCGGCAUCGAAUAAGUGCGGGAUCGAUUCCCGAGUGGGACACUCCUGUGUGAACUUGGACUACCAUUAGUGUUUAGAUCUGUAUAGACGUCAUUUAUUAACGCGUGCUGGUGACACCGGAGAGAGUACCUUAUCGUAAAAAGUUUAGGCCUUAUUUUAUGAUGAAACUCGCUUAAGUUUGAAACGCUGAGCGUUAAAUAUUUGUCACUUGCGACUUGUGCCAAGUGAUGAAUGAGUACCUAUAAAUAUUUUUUACUUUCGGAACAUUUUAUCUUAAAUCCAUACGGUCCAGUGAUUUUUAAGUGAUACAGUGUAUUUUUAAAUAGCUCAUUGCUUUAAUGUAAGUAUAUUAUGUAACGUUCGUAAGUGUUGUUUUGUCAAAUAUUGAUAAUAAUAAUUUCCAAAAUUUUUUGUAAGUUUUGUAUAUAUUUUUUUUUAUUUGGUUAUAAAACGAAAUGUGUUUGAAUAUUUGUAUUAGAGAGUUCUCAUAUCUGUCUCGUUAUAGUGCAUUCUUUAUAAGAUUUGAUUUAUUAGAUUAUUUAUAAAUGUGAUAAUUUCCCAAAUGAACGAUUUUUAUAAUGAUAUAUAUUAAAUUGUGUAAUUUUUCAAUGUGUUCUGUGUUAAACUGUAAGAAACAGACUAGAUACACGAUGUCGAACUCGAUCGUGAAAUAUCAGAAAAUGACUGACGUUGAUAUCUGACAUUACAUAUAUCUCAUCUGUAGAGCUAUUCUGUAACUCGAAAUUCACUGUAUAACACGAGCGUGAAAUUUCAGAUGACACUGACGACAAUAAUUAUAAACCUUAUAGGAUACCCGUAUCGAAAUGGUGUAUCACCGUUAGUCGGCUGUCAAUAUUUCAUGGGUGAGAUACGAAGUGAAUUCUUACAGAAUCGCACUGCUGAUCGAAACUUGAGCAUUUUUUUCGACAAAAUUCAGUCAAGUUUAAUACCUUACUCAUUAAUAUGAGGACGCUCCUUAUAUAAAACCUAAAUUUUGCGAUCCAAUCGAACAUCGAGAAUCGAAUUUAUUUCCUACAAAACAAUACUGUAAAACAUGUGGCUCGUUUUAAACCGCCCCGUGAUAUUCAGUUUUUUCAAAGAUAUUUAAUGUUAGACUUUUGAUAUUUAAUAAUGUGAUAUUCUAUUUCGUUCUACGUACUCUAUAAAAAUCAUCAAAUAUAUGAGAAUAUUAGACUAUUUCGACUAGUUUCCCGAGCUAUUAGAAAUAAAGCAAAUUUAUGUAAACUUAUAUUUAAACAGUCAUUUCAACUCAACAAGAUUUUAACGAAUUAAGACAUAUGUUUAAAUAUCCAUCGUUCGUGAUAUGUAAGAUUAUUUCCUACAUGAUUUUAUAUUCCCGCGAUGGUUGCGCAGGGCGGAGCGAUCCAGAUACCGCCCUUCUGAAUCGAAUUACAGUAGUUGCAGUAGAUUUUAUCAGGGUUGCCAGCAACGGACGCCGUGGGAACUGGCCGCUAUAACGAUCCAUAGCCAUACCUUACAAGACGCUAAGUACUUUAAUUAAUAUGUUAAUAUUUUUAUGUUCUACAUUAUGUAAUUUCUCAGUUGAAAAUAAUUGUUCGAAAAGGAAUUAAAUCCCUUAUAUUAUAUAGUAGUUAUAGGAGGUUUUCAUAUUAGUAAACAUAUAUUUAGUCAACGAAUAAAAUUGUAUUUCGAUUUCAUGAAAUAAAUUGAACUGCAUUGUGAAAAAAGUUUCAACCCACAGAAAUACUAAAAACAGACAAAAAAUAUAAACAUUAUUGUCUUUUAAUAAUAAAAAAAAAAAAAUCACUAGAGUUUCUGUGAGUUGGAACAAACAGUUGUAAAUAACUUUUUAGCCCGCAACUGUCAACCCUGAAUAUAUACGUAGCUACCUUACAUACCGAUUACUUAUAAUUUGAGCAAACACCAGGCAUGACCACUGCGGGCAUCGUACACGCCUUGAUUACCUUUGAUUUUCUAUGCUAUUCCGCAUAAUUUCCAUUGGCUAUACAGAUUUUAUGAGAACGUAUCGAAUUCUUUAUACCGUGUGAAGAGCUAUGUGAAAUUAUUUCUUAAAUCCUUUUGUCUCUUUCAUAUUGCUGAUAUUAGAGUGAGUUAAAACAUUGGACAAUGUUUCAAUAAUUGUGUACUUAUAUUUUGUUGUUUUAUAAAAUUAAUCCUCGUUAUACGUGUACUGCGUCUUUUUGUCGUUUCUUGGUAAUUGUUUACCCUUAUAUCAGACUAUUAGUGCCUCCUUUUAUCUAUAUAGACUUGGGUCCCAUUAUUGUAAACGUCAUUAUAGUUUGAAGUACUUAAAUGAUUAAAGAUUUAAAGGUAACUGCUUUUUUUAAAUCCUUGUUGGAACUUACCUACUCUAUGAAAAUAACUAAUGUCUUAUUUCUACGUCUAAACUUCUAAAUUCCGACGCUGAACAUAUUUACUAAAAUCUCAUCUUAUAAAUAAAAUACAGUAGUAGACGUCCCACGUGAAAUAAUAUAUUCCAUCCAAAAUCUAUUGUCGCGUCCAAAAUAAUUCCAUUUUUUCAAAAUUAAUUGUAUUGAUACAGUUUGUGAUUCGGUUCAAAUGAUCUCAGUUUAAUAUAAAGAUAAAUUAGUGAGCUACUUUAAAAAACUAUAGUUUAAAGUUUUUCUGUCUAUAAUAAUAACGAAAGAGGUUAUAAUAUCUUGUUUUUUUUUU